rnacentral:rRNA from 1 species
GACGAACGCUGGCGGCGUGCUUAACACAUGCAAGUCGAACGCUGAACCCGCUUCGGUGGGGGAUGAGUGGCGAACGGGUGAGUAACACGUGGGCAACCUGCCCCCGGCUCUGGGAUAACUCCAAGAAAUUGGGGCUAAUACCGGAUGUGACCGCUGGCCGCAUGGUCUGGUGGUGGAAAGGGUUUCCGGCUGGGGAUGAGCCCGCGGCCUAUCAGCUUGUUGGUGGGGUAGUGGCCUACCAAGGCGACGACGGGUAGCCGGCCUGAGAGGGUGACCGGCCACACUGGGACUGAGACACGGCCCAGACUCCUACGGGAGGCAGCAGUGGGGAAUAUUGCGCAAUGGGCGGAAGCCUGACGCAGCGACGCCGCGUGGGGGAUGACGGCCUUCGGGUUGUAAACCUCUUUCAGCAGGGACGAAGCGCAAGUGACGGUACCUGCAGAAGAAGCACCGGCCAACUACGUG